rnacentral:lncRNA from 1 species
UUUGAUUGUUCAAUUUUGUCGUUCCAAAUUGCCGCAAUUUCCAAUUAUCGUGAGAAUUGUCGUUGUUUCUAGAACCGCGUCAGGUAUCGUGACUUAUUUUUUUUAUUUAAGCAGCCAACCUAAUAAAAUCUGUUAACACGCAUAGACCUGUCUCACUAUCAGCAAAAGCCUUUAAGUCCAAAUAAAAGAACAAAAGCCUCAUCACAUAACCAUUUCAGCAGCAACCAAAAAAAUGCUAGCAAACUCCCACAACAUCACAGCGGCAACACCUGCUAGCAGCCCUCAAAGUACAACGGAUGAUUUACUCAAUUGUUAUAAUUAACUACCUCACAACCAAGAAAAAUCAAAUCAAAAAGAAAAAUCAAGUCAUCAUACCUGACGUUGUACUGGAAAUAACGGCAAUUCUCACGAUAUUUGAAAUCAUGACGAUUCUCACGAAAAUUGAAAAAUGCGGCAGUUGGGAACGACAAAAUUGAACAAUCAAAAUGGGAGGAAUAAAUUUUAUGAAUAUAACUGAUAAAUUUAAGGACAUUCAGAUGAAAGAAAUUUGAUGUGAAAUUUUAAUUGUUCUAAGCCAGUCCU